AUGGGGAAAUUGGGAAGGAAGAAGGCGAUCGCCUACCGCGAGGCCCCCAAUGCAGCUUAUAUCUCCCGGCGAGGCGGUGACCAUACUCCACUCCCGGUCGAAUUCGGAAGCGCGUUUCGCUCCAGUGGAAUCCGAUUGAGGAGUGGCAAACACGCACCACGCGUUGCCCGCGCGCCACGUUUCAAUCCACUACGGCGUUGUCGUCACGGCGCGCCACCGCGCCACCGGCGCGACCUGCUGCGGCUCGUGCUGGACCACGUCGGCCCGAGCCUCAGCCGCGUUCUGCGUGAUCGCCGCGGGCGGUUCGCUGAGGAGGAGACGCGGCGCGUCAUGCGGCAGCUGCUGAGCGGCGCCGGCAAGAUGCACGAGCGCGGUAUCGUCCACCGGGACAUCAAGCCCGGGAACAUCCUCGUCGGUGGCGAUGGCGUGGUGAAGAUAUACGACCUCGGGCUGGCCGUUUCCGCCGCGCGCGGUCAGGCCGACACGCUCUGGUACAUGGCUCCGGAGAUGCUCCUGGGGAAGCCGGACUACGACGAGCUCGUGGACGCCUGGUCGCUCGGCUGCGUCAUGGCGGAGCUGGUCGCCGGCGAGCCACUGUUCCCUGGUGACAGCGCGACCGACCAGCUCCGGAGAAUCUUCCGCGUGCUCGACAGCACGUGCAUGGCAUCCACGCCGCUCGCCGCCGCGGGGCAGAAGCUGCUUACCCGCCGAAGUGACAGCCGACUGCGCGAGCUGUUCCCCAAGGAGCGCCUGUCGCGCGACGGGUUCAAGGUUUUAGAGGGGCUCCUCGCCUGCGACCCCGGCGAGCGUCUGCCAGCGGCCAUGGCGAUCCAGCUUCAGCCGCAUAGGAUGCGGGCUCGACCACCAUUCUACCUCAUCACUUAG
rnacentral:rRNA from 1 species